CCUCUUUGAUGGCAAAGUCAAGACUCAAGAGGUCAUCUAUCCAUUCAAAACUGACAUACUCAACGAUGUUUUGCGGGCAUUGAAGGAGACCCUGCACACCAAUUUCAUGGCAUCCCUUGUAGCUGUGGCUGGGGCUACACUGGGACUGCACUAUGAUAAAAUCAUAGAGGAAGGCAACCACUUCCCUGUCCCAGUAAUUUGUGGUGAACAUAGGCUGGGAAAGACCAAAUCAGCCAGGGCAGCUCUACAUCUUAUGGGCAAUGGUAGACAAUUCUUUUCAUCAGCAAGGGAACGAUUCAUCCCACGCCUUUGCUCUAGGUCUACCUUUCCACCCGUGCUGGAUGAUAUCAAAAAUACCCGUCAACUGGGAGAGCUUGCUCUGGCCUACUUCGAUGGUGGGAAGGAUGGAACCUGCAGCCGGGAAAUGAA